rnacentral:rRNA from 1 species
AUUGAACGCUGGCGGCAGGCCUAACACAUGCAAGUCGAACGAGUGGCGGACGGGUGAGUAAUGUCUGGGAAACUGCCCGAUGGAGGGGGUUAACUACUGGAAACGGUAGCUAAUACCGCAUACCAUCGGAUGUGCCCAGAUGGGAUUAGUUAGUAGGGGGGGUAACGGCUCACCUAGGCGACGAUCACUAGCUGGUCUGAGAGGAUGACCGGCCACACUUGCACUGAUACACGGUCCAGACGCCUACGGGAGGCAGCAGUGGUGAAUAUGGCACAAUGGGCGCAAGCCUUCUGCAGCCCUGCCGCGUGUAUGAUGAAGGCCUUCGUGUUGUAAAGUACUUUCAGCGGGGAGGCGUUACCCGCAGAAGAAGCACCGGCUAACUCCGUGCCGUCAGCCGCGGUAAUAC